AAAAAAAAAAAAUAAAAAAAAAAUGAUAUGGUUUGUUCCUGAUCCCACUAUCCCUUUCUUCCCCAUUUUUUUAUUCAUUUCUCAAUACUAUUGUUACAUCCUAAAAGGCAGAAAAUUUUUUUAGCAAAUCUUAUCAAUACCCCGAAUAGAGUUUUAGAAGAGCAGCAUUUUAUGUCACAUAUUCAUGAUAGCAAAGCAACUUAGCUUGUAGCACCACUUUUCAUAGUCAAUUAGAUAUGUAAAUAUUAGAUAGAAAUAUACCGCAAUUGGCAAAAUGCCCUGUUUCAAUUGGAUCCUACCUUUUUUUUUUUUAAUAAUUUUAAAAAGUAAUUAUCAAUUUCACAUAAUUAAGUUAUAAGUUGCAUAUUGCACACUUUAACAGAACAUGGAACAGAAGAUUAUCCAAGUUUACAAGCAAAGAGCUGAAACAAUAAUAUUGAUAGAUUAUCUAUGUUUGGGUAAUUUUAUAGUCGGUCUUUGAACUUUGCCUCGUGUUUCAUUUUUUGUCCCUUAAUCUCAAUUUAUUACUAAAAAAUUUCUAGACUUUAAUUUUGUUUCACAAAAAUCCCUCUAAUCUGCUAUAAUAGAUUUCCAGGUUAACCCCUUCUCUGAUACUAAAAAACACGGGCUAUUUCAAUUGCCAUAUGGACCUAUCGUAAAUAUACCAAUGCCAUAAAAAUGAUAUACUUCCUGGGAAAGAAGAGGAUUUACCCUUCACCAAAGUGUUGAAAUUGCAUUUGCAGACGUCAUACUGUAAGUUAGAGGGAUUUUUUAAUUUGGAAACCUUUUAUUAUAGGUUAGAGGGACUUUCUGUGAAACCAAGUUAAAGUUUAAGGAUUUUUUAGUAAUAAAUUGAAGUUAAGGAACAGAAGUGAUACACGGGCAAAAUUCGAGUACAAGCUAUAAAAAUAACCCUCUAUGUCUGCAAGAAAACGGAACAUCUUCUUUAAAUAGCAGGGGAAUUAAUUGAUAAUAAAAACAUGGGAGCAAAGCCUAUAGUAUAUUGCAAGCUUGUGGUUAGCUUGAAUUCAACCUACUGCUCUACAAUUAUCUUGGAGUUACACAAGUUACAGCUUUUUAUGUUUAUGAUCUUUCUGUACCUUCUGGUACUUGUAGUCUCAAGUUCAUUAUUCAAGCAUGUGAUUUUGACGGGGCUUGCCAAAAGCUGGAUGAUUCUCCAUAUUUUCAACUCGAUAUUGAAGCCUAAUUAUUUGCAAAAUUUUGUUCAAUCAAAUAUUCAAUGCCCUGACGACAAAAAAAGUUAAGAGGUAGGAUUCUGUUUCGUUUUGUGGCUCUCUUAGAAUUAAGAGGUAGAUUUUUGUCAUUUGUGUUGUGUGUUAUUUUUCAUCAUUAAUUUUAAUAAAUUCUCCUGCAUGACUUGAUUGCAUUUUGCAUAAGAUUGUUGUUUUAUUUCAUUUUUUAUUUCGUUUUCUUUAUAUUUGUCGAUUGGUGUACUCGUAUGGACAAUAGCUUGACAUGCAUUUAACAACUAUUUGGACGUACUUUUUUUUUUGGGUUAAUUCUCUGUACUUUAAUGGGUUGUCUUCUGCUUUCACUAAUUUAUCUCAUUCUCACUUUGUAGGUUAUUGGGUUGUAGUCUGCAGGAAAGACCGUAAUUCUUAAUUUGCCCGUUAUUUAAAAAUAAAUGGAUUUUUAGUGCUUUAAUAUAUGAUAAAGAUGACAAUAUAUGGGAUUUUUUGUACUUUAAUUGCUCUGCAAGUGUAUAAUUUAUACUGUAAUGUGUUAAAUUUAUGAAUAAUUUGAUAAAUAUAUCAGUUUUUCUAAUAUUUUAUUUACU
rnacentral:misc_RNA from 1 species